UACGUAGGGUGCAAGCGUUAAUCGGAAUUACUGGGCGUAAAGCGUGCGCAGGCGGUUUUGCAAGUCUGAUGUGAAAGCCCCGGGCUUAACCUGGGAACGGCAUUGGAGACUGCAAGGCUAGAGUGCGUCAGAGGGGGGUAGAAUUCCACGUGUAGUGAAAUGCGUAGAGAUGUGGAGGAAUACCGAUGGCGAAGGCAGCCCCCUGGGAUGACACUGACGCUCAUGCACGAAAGCGUGGGGAGCAAACAGG
rnacentral:rRNA from 1 species